GCGUCCCAUUAGCUAGUUGGUGAGGUAACGGCUCACCAAGGCGACGAUGGGUAGCCGGCCUGAGAGGGUGACCGGCCACACUGGGACUGAGACACGGCCCAGACUCCUACGGGAGGCAGCAGUAGGGAAUUUUGCGCAAUGGGGCGAAAGCCUGACGCAGCGACGCCGCGUGAGGGAAGACGGCCUUCGGGGUUGUAAACCUCUGUCCAUGGGGGAAGAUGGUGACGGUACCCGUGGAGGAAGCCCCGGCUAACUACGUGCCAGCAGCCGCGGUAAUACGUAGGGGGCGAGCGUUGUCCGGAAUUAUUGGGCGUAAAGGGUGCGUAGGCGGCAUGCAAAGUCACCUGUGAAAAACCUCGGCUUAACCGGGGGCUUGCAGGUGAAACUAGUAUGCUUGAGUGCAGGAGAGGAGAACGGAAUUCCUGGUGUAGCGGUGAAAUGCGUAGAUAUCAGGAGGAACACCAGUGGCGAAGGCGGUUCUCUGGACUGUAACUGACGCUGAGGCACGAAAGCUGGGGGAGCAAACAGGAUUAGAUACCCUGGUAGUCCCAGCCGUAAACGAUGGUUACUAGGUGUAGGCACCGAUGAAGGUGUCUGUGCCGCAGCUAACGCAUUAAGUAUCCCGCC
rnacentral:rRNA from 1 species